CACAACACAGGAGAAGCAAAUGAGCUCAGAAUUGUUUUCCUUUUCUCUGAGGCUUCUCAGCCUCCCAGGAGAAAAGCCCUGGGCAAAGGGAUUUUUUCAGAGAAUGUGAAUGCCACAACCUCCCUAACUGUGUCUUGGGAAUAUCUUUUAAAGAUGCUUCUAGAAGAUGCAGCAGUUGAGGAUGGCAGUAUUGCAUCUCCCCCACCUGCUCACCAUAUUUGUCUUCACUGUGAAAACACACAAGUACACCCCUCACCUGGUCAUGCUGUGCCUGCUACCAUCACUUUGGGGACAAUGAGAAUAGUACAUCCCCAGUCUGAAAAGUGCAUAUUACAUGGCUCUAUGCAGCCCCGAAGAUGCUGUUAGGAUUCAGAGGAAGAAGCUGACACUGACCAGACAGAAUCCUUUCUUUGAAUGGAAUUUAUGUAUCAUGGUCCUGCAGUGAAUUUUUACAUUCCCACCAGAGACUCACAUGCCAUUGUCAGUAACCAAGGGACACAGCUUAAUACCUCAGAGAUCUCAGUGUGGCACAUGGAACCACUCUGGCUGUUGGCCACAGCUCUGGAAGAAUAAUAAUGGAAAAAAAUGUGCUUGCUACAGGACUGUAGACCUAAGGGAGUCAAAAUUCUAUUGAUCCCAGCCCAUCUUGUUCUCAUUACAAUCUGCUCUGCUGCUAGCAUCAGGAGUUUUGACAAGAUCCAUUGAUAUUAGUGGGGUAAAUACAUCCUUAGGUGGCAUAAAUCAGCAGCACUUGCUAUGCCAAUUUAUAGCAACUGCAAAUAUAGACCAUUCUGAUAUGUGUUAUGUGAAGAGAAAUAGUAUGCAGGGUCAAUAUGGAAAGCUCCAGAACAGCUGAGUCUUGAAGAGCAUUUGUUUAACUAAUCAGCUACACUAUGCAAUCAGUGUCUAUUUUUCCUCUCAUAAAUAGGCAUGCAUGAGGGAAGAAAUGAUUGUUAAAUACUCACACAGCAGGUUUUAACAACUGCAGA